rnacentral:lncRNA from 1 species
UUUUAUAUUUUUUUAUAAUUAAAAACAAAAUAAUAUAUUUAUACACCCAACUUCUCAUGCAACUUAUUUCUAAUCCUAAUGUUAUUUUUUAUAUCUCAAUUUCCAUCUUUUAUCACAUAUCUAUCAACUAACAAUUUCCCCUCAAUCCUUUAUUUUUCUCGAUCUAUUUGUCAAGAAUGGAAACAUUUUCCAUAAAAAUAUUCUAUUUUGAAGUGUUUAACAGCAGGAAACGAUGAAAUAAUACUAGAGAGUAA